UCUUCAAGAAAGUACGUAAGGCUGUGAAGCUUCCCAUCUGCUCCAAGAACACAGUGGACUGUCUACCACAGCAGGACCCACAGUUUGACAACUCUACACCUAGCCUGGAAGGGUGGAGCGAUGCCGCUUUAUCCAGUUCGGAUGGCUGCCCAGAGCAGUCCAGCUUCACACUUCCAGGUGAAGUGCUUGUUGAGCCAGUAAGGGCUUCAGCUUGCCUGAAACUA